rnacentral:rRNA from 1 species
GACGAACGCUGGCGGCGUGCUUAAUACAUGCAAGUAGAACGCAGUUGCGAACGGGUGAGUAACGCGUAGGUAACUGCUUCAUAGCGGGGGAUAACUAUUGGAAACGAUAGCUAAUACCGCAUACUGUGAGAUGGACCUGCGUUGUAUUAGGUAGUUGGUGAGUUAAAGGCUCACUAAGGCGACGAUACACAGCCGACCUUAGAGGGUGAUCGGCAACAGUGGGACUGAGACACGGCACGGACACCGACGAGAGGAAGCAGUGGGGAAUCUUCGGCGAUGGACGGAAGUGGGACCGAGCGACGCGGGGGGAGUGAAGUGGGUUUUCGGAUCGGAGGGAUCGUAUGUUAGAGAAGCGGUAACUAACCAGAGAGGGACGGCUAACUAAGUGCCAGCAGCCGCGGUAAAUC